UACGAAGGGGGCUAGCGUUGCUCGGAAUUACUGGGCGUAAAGGGCGCGUAGGCGGAUAGUUUAGUCAGAGGUAAAAGCCCAGGGCUCAACCUUGGAACUGCCUUUGAUACUGGCUAUCUUGAGUACGGGAGAGGUGUGUGGAACUCCGAGUGUAGAGGUGAAAUUCGUAGAUAUUCGGAAGAACACCAGUGGCGAAGGCGACACACUGGCCCGUUACUGACGCUGAGGCGCGAAAGCGUGGGGAGCAAAGCAGG
rnacentral:rRNA from 1 species